GUGAAGGCAUUCGUGAGACCAAGGACGCCAAACGGGAAGCGGAUCCGCACAUAUCAGUGCCUGCGUCUCCCUCGCAGUUGGAAUUCUACAUAGUUAAGCAAGGUGGUGACACACAGAUACUUAUAUUGUUCAGCGUCAGUCAAAACCUGGUGUACUUUAAGCUGAUGUUGAGUGCGCUGCAGAGUUACAUUGGUACAGGGCGAUCAGGCAUCAUCACACAACGCUUCUACGCUGACAUGUUUGAUGAAGCGGCUAGCAGUGAAGACAUUCCUGAGACCAAGUAUACCGAACGGGAACUGGAUUCACACAAGCCGGUGUCUGCCUCUCCAUUGCAACUGGACUUCGACAUAGAUGAGCAGGGUGGUGAUACGCA